UGGGGAAUCUUGCGCAAUGCGCGACAGCGUGACGCAGCAACGCCGCGUGGGGGAAGAAGGCCUUCGGGUUGUAAACCCCUUUCAGGAGGGACGAAGGUUUCGGUCGUUAAUAGCGGCCGGACUGACGGUACCUCCAGAAGAAGCCCCGGCUAACUACGUGCCAGCAGCCGCGGUAAUACGUAGGGGGCAAGCGUUGUCCGGAAUCAUUGGGCGUAAAGCGCACGUAGGCGGCCCGGUUAGUCCGCUGUAAAAGUCAAAGGCUCAACCUUUGAAUGCCGGUGGAUACUGCCGGGCUAGAGUCCGGAAGAGGCGAGUGGAAUUCCUGGUGUAGCGGUGGAAUGCGCAGAUAUCAGGAGGAACACCGAUAGCGAAGGCAGCUCGCUGGGACGGUACUGACGCUGAGGUGCGAAAGCGUGGGGAGCGAACAG
rnacentral:rRNA from 1 species